rnacentral:lncRNA from 1 species
GGGUGAUAGAGGCAGGUCCUGCACAGCACUGGGACAUGGGCCACGCAGCCUGAGCUGACUGAUUUGUACAGUGCCUGCCAGCUGUAAAAUGAAGACUAAAAGUGAUUUCCUUUUCUGGAGGACUUGGGCAAACUACAGGGCAUCCUAAUCGCCGUCAUUGCUGAACCUCAAUAAUCUGAGUCCCUUUUCCCUGUUAAACCCUGGAGCACUGUAUCUCAAGCUUUCCCGACAAGCGUAUCAAAUAGAAGAAAGGAACAAACUCAGUCCCUAAGGCACAUGAGAGUUCUGAGAGUUAGUCCAAAGGUAUUGGAGAUCUCCAGGGAGCAUUAUCUCCAUAAGAAUGAGAAAAAUGACACUGCAGGAUAGAACAGUAGUGUUAAUGGGUCAGUGAGUGACAGCUGAGCCUUCUCUCAGAGGUAUCAGCCAGGCCAGUGCUGCCAGGAACACAAGAGCUGUACAGUAAAGUGUGCCAAUUUAAUCUUGUCACACGUAGCCUGGACUGCAAAGAUAGAGCUCCCCUUAAAAGCCCAGUGUGUCAAGCCUAAACCCGACUCAUGCCAGAAGAGAACAUACAAAGAUGCUAAUUGGAAAAUAUCUGUACUACGGGUUCCCACAGAAGAUGUCCUUUAAAAAAAAAAAUUUCUCAACAGGAUCUAGUUAAGAUAAUAAAUAAUAAAAUGUGAAACUCCCAUAGACCUCUUGGUCAUCAGUUACCCUAUAUAUCCUAAAUUCAACUUAAAAAUAGACAUCUGAAAUCAAACAAUGUUGAAGCAUUUCAAUUAAACUGAUUAAUCUUGA